GGGGGAGUGGUGUACAAGUUGUGUGGGGAUGAGAAUAGGUGGGGAGGACUAAAGGGAGCGUGAAUGGAUCGUGGCUCCAGGAGGCAGGCUGGGAACUGAAUCAAUGUGAUAAAAUGGAGGAGAGAGACUUGAGAGGGUGUGGUGCGAGUGUUUGUGACGGUUAGGACAGCAUGGAUAAGAGUGGAGAAGACGUGUAAGGAGUGGUGGUGGUGGUGGAACUGUGUGGAGACGAGUGAAAGGCUGUGGGCAGUGGAGGAGUUUUAAGACAAUGUGACGUGUUAGACGAAAUAAUUAGUGAACAAGAUAAUGCUGUUUUGUUCCAUAUUUGUCCAUUACAGGCGUUGACGAUCCAAAGGCCUGACUCCACAGCGGUAAUGCGUCCCCUCUACUAUCAAGGAGAGACUCUACCUUGCACUACACCUUCACUGACAACGCCCACGAUCAACACCUCUGCCUCACCACUACCGCAACAUCAGAGGACUGUCUUGCAUCGCGCCCAGACACUACGUAGAUUUCACUAACCAGGAAUUGGCGAUCCAAGGCCUGAGUGUAGCGAUCAAGGGACUCCACUGCCGCCGUCCAGCGAGAUUCGGCUCCACAUCUCACACCUUCCGCCGCCGUCCCAACACCACCACCAACACCAAGGAUUGCACGGCACCUUGACCCUGCGCGGCCAUCACCUACUGGGGGUGUCGGUGGCCAGGUGGGGGAAGGAGUUGCGGGCAGCGUGACAGUCAGUCUUCCCUCAUUCACUGUGGGUGGUGUGGUGCCAUUACUCCAUUGUAAUAAACUGUCUUCACUGCCUCAUUGUGGUGUUCUCACUGUACUAAGAGCUGUUGUCAAUAAAUAAUAGUGUAGAAA